GACCAGAGCAGCAAAGCCCUGCAGGACCAAUGCAAUGCUAAAGGGCCACAGCCUGCAGCUGACUCACUGAUCUGCAGGAACCAGCAGAAUUGUGUCGUCUCUCCUGUUUCAUGUUGUCAUACCUCCUGUACACCGAAAGUAUUGAUGAGUGAUUAAAAACAACCUUCCUGUGUACGCUCAAUGAGAUUCUGAUUAUAAUGUUUGUCUAAGAAAAUAGUGUUUUCUUUCUGUAGUGAUUUUUACAAAGCGCAUUGUUACAGAGCAACAUUACACAAGUCCGGGCCUGUACUUUACUGGCUGUAGAUUACAUCUCUUGAAAAAUAUCACUGAAAAAAAUAUUGUUUGUAGAUUUGAAUUUUUGGUGUAUUGUUUUUUUAAUAUUUUUUGUUAUAUUUGGGAAAUAUAAAAUCCCACAUUUUUAAAAUGUUUCUCUUGAUGGUUUUGUGAGUUUAUUUUCCCCUAGGUGAAAUAGCUCUGCAUAUUCUGUACAUUUUCUAAAUAAAACAUGUCAUUACGAUGUA